GCGUCGGUGGUUUAGCGGUUAGGACGCUCGCCAACCAUGCACAUGGUCCAGGGUUCGACUCCCGGCCGACGUA
rnacentral:tRNA from 1 species